UAAAAAAUACAAGAAUUUGUGGUCUGGUUGGGGAAAAAGAUACUUCAAGCUGGAAAGAAUGUACCUGCAUUACUUUGAGUCCAAAGAUUACGGAGUGCACUAUUGGGAUGGUCUGGGGGUUGACGUCUGCUAAAGCACUAUGGCUAUAAGGCUCCAAGCCCUGUUAAUACUGUCACAAGAGGUGAUAUUGAUGCUGUAAAGUCAUCUACCUCUUUCCCAAACAGAC